rnacentral:rRNA from 1 species
AUACGUAGGGAGCGGGCGUUGUCCGGAAUUACUGGGUGUAAAGGGAGCGUAGGCGGGAGUGCAAGUCAGAUGUGAAAUACAUGGGCUCAACCCAUGGGCUGCAUUUGAAACUGCAUUUCUUGAGUGAAGUAGAGGUAAGCGGAAUUCCUGGUGUAGCGGUGAAAUGCGUAGAUAUCAGGAGGAACACCGGUGGCGAAGGCGGCUUACUGGGCUUUUACUGACGCUGAGGCUCGAAAGCGUGGGGAGCAAACAGGAUUAGAUACCCUGGUAGUCCACGCUGUAAACGAUGAUUACUAGGUGUGGGGGGACUGACCCCUUCCGUGCCGCAGUUAACACAAUAAGUAAUCCACCUGGGGAGUACGGCCGCAAGGUUGAAACUCAAAUGAAUUGACGGGG